rnacentral:rRNA from 1 species
GCACCGGCUAACUCCGUGCCAGCAGCCGCGGUAAUACGGAGGGUGCGAGCGUUAAUCGGAAUUACUGGGCGUAAAGGGUGCGUAGGUGGUUUGUUAAGUUAUCUGUGAAAUCCCUGGGCUCAACCUGGGCAGGUCAGAUAAUACUGAUGGACUCGAGUAUAGGAGAGGGUAGUGGAAUUUCCGGUGUAGCGGUGAAAUGCGUAGAGAUCGGAAGGAACACCAGUGGCGAAGGCGGCUACCUGGCCUGAUACUGACACUGAGGCACGAAAGCGUGGGGAGCAAACAGGAUUAGAUACCCUGGUAGUCCACGCUGUAAACGAUGUCAACUAGCUGUUGGUUAUAUGAAAAUAAUUAGUGGCGCAGCAAACGG